UUAGCCAUAUGCUCCUAGCCUUAGAAGCACCUCAGGAACUAUCCGCUCUCUUCUCUCAAUCUAAAAUCAAUUUUGGCUCAAAAUCUCAAAUUGGGUUUGGCCAAAAAUUUCUCAAGUCCGCUCCCUCCACCCCAAGACUCAAAAGGAGCUAUGUAUGGAGAGUAUUGGAGAUUUAGAAGGAAAAUAUUUUGGCGAUACUUGGAGACGAAAAUCACUGAGGCUUUUGCUGCCGCUGAGGCUUUUUCUGCUGAGAUUCACAUAACUCGUUUUCUACAAAUUCAAGGUUUGUGAUAACUCAAUGGACGAUCUCCAACAAUCACUAUCACCUAUUUUAGUUGUUCACACAAAGAAGGUUAACAUAAUCAAGAAGACUGGAGUUAGUGAAUGUCUCGACCCAAAACCUCACCCGUUGUGAUGGCGCAUAUCUCGAUUACAGGCAAGACGACAACCUCAAUAACCCACAGUUUCUUUUAUAUUUAAAAUUAUAAUAUUUAAACACAAUUCACAAGUCUCGCAAAUACUGAUACAAACAUUAGAAAUAAACACACUCCCAAAAUUCGGUGUCACUAAGUACAUGAGUAUCUAUACAUUAUAAGUCUGGAAAACACAGUCUAUAAUAGUCUAAGACUAAAUACAGUAAACAAAGAGAUAGGGAAGGAGAUACAAGGUCUGUGAAACAUGGCAGCUACCUCUGAGUCUCCGAAAAAUCAACUGUGUGAAAGAAUCAACACCC